rnacentral:rRNA from 1 species
ACGGGUGAGUAAUGUCUGGGAAACUGCCUGAUGGAGGGGGAUAACUACUGGAAACGGUAGCUAAUACCGCAUAAUGUCGCAAGACCAAAGAGGGGGACCUUCGGGCCUCUUGCCAUCAGAUGUGCCCAGAUGGGAUUAGCUAGUAGGUGGGGUAAUGGCUCACCUAGGCGACGAUCCCUAGCUGGUCUGAGAGGAUGACCAGCCACACUGGAACUGAGACACGGUCCAGACUCCUACGGGAGGCAGCAGUGGGGAAUAUUGCACAAUGGGCGCAAGCCUGAUGCAGCCAUGCCGCGUGUAUGAAGAAGGCCUUCGGGUUGUAAAGUACUUUCAGCGAGGAGGAAGGCAUUGUGGUUAAUAACCACAGUGAUUGACGUUACUCGCAGAAGAAGCACCGGCUAACUCCGUGCCAGCAGCCGCGGUAAUACGGAGGGUGCAAGCGUUAAUCGGAAUUACUGGGCGUAAAGCGCACGCAGGCGGUCUGUCAAGUCGGAUGUGAAAUCCCCGGGCUCAACCUGGGAACUGCAUUCGAAACUGGCAGGCUAGAGUCUUGUAGAGGGGGGUAGAAUUCCAGGU